GUAGGGAAUAUUGCGCAAUGGGCGAAAGCCUGACGGAGCAAUGCCGCGUGAAGGAUGAAGGCCUAUGGGUUGUAAACUUCUUUUCUCAGAAAAGAAUUAUGACGGUAUCUGAGGAAUAAGCAUCGGCUAACUCUGUGCCAGCAGCCGCGGUAAGACAGAGGAUGCAAGCGUUAUCCGGAAUGAUUGGGCGUAAAGCGUCUGUAGGUUGUUUAAAAAGUAUUCUGUCAAAGAUUAGGGCUUAACCCUAGAUAGGCAGAAUAAACUUUUAAGCUAGAGUUUGGUAGAGGCAGAGGGAAUUCCCGGUGGAGCGGUGAAAUGCGUAGAUAUCGGGAGGAACACCAAAGGCGAAGGCACUCUGCUGGGCCAAUACUAACACUGAGAGACGAAAGCGAGGGGAGCAAAUGGGAUUAGAUACCCGGGUAGUCC
rnacentral:rRNA from 1 species